UGCUUAACACAUGCAAGUCGAACGGAAAGGUCUCUUCGGAGAUACUCGAGUGGCGAACGGGUGAGUAACACGUGGGCAAUCUGCCCUGCACUUCGGGAUAAGCCUGGGAAACUGGGUCUAAUACCGGAUAGGACCACUUGGCGCAUGCCUUGUGGUGGAAAGCUUUUGCGGUGUGGGAUGGGCCCGCGGCCUAUCAGCUAGUUGGUGGGGUGAUGGCCUACCAAGGCGACGACGGGUAGCCGGCCUGAGAGGGUGUCCGGCCACACUGGGACUGAGAUACGGCCCAGACUCCUACGGGAGGCAGCAGUGGGGAAUAUUGCACAAUGGGCGCAAGCCUGAUGCAGCGACGCCGCGUGGGGGAUGACGGCCUUCGGGUUGUAAACCUCUUUCAGCAGGGACGAAGCGCAAGUGACGGUACCUGCAGAAGAAGCACCGGCCAACUACGUGCCAGCAGCCGCGGUAAUACGUAGGGUGCGAGCGUUGUCCGGAAUUACUGGGCGUAAAGAGCUCGUAGGUGGUUUGUCGCGUUGUUCGUGAAA
rnacentral:rRNA from 1 species